rnacentral:piRNA from 1 species
UACCAGCCGCCAAGUAAAGUGCUAAC